AGAGUUUGAUCAUGGCUCAGAACGAACGCUGGCGGCAGGCUUAACACAUGCAAGUCGAACGAGUAAGAGCCGUAGCAAUACGGAGUUCUGCUAGUGGCGCACGGGUGAGUAACGCGUGGGGAUAUGCCCUUUAGUACGGAAUAACAGUUGGAAACGACUGCUAAUACCGUAUACGCCCUUCGGGGGAAAGAUUUAUCGCUAAAGGAUUAGCCCGCGUGAGAUUAGGUAGUUGGUGGGGUAAUGGCCUACCAAGCCUACGAUCUCUAGCCGGUCUGAGAGGACGAUCGGCCACACUGGAACUGAGACACGGUCCAGACUCCUACGGGAGGCAGCAGUGGGGAAUAUUGGACAAUGGGCGAAAGCCUGAUCCAGCCAUGCCGCGUGAGUGAUGAAGGCCUUAGGGUUGUAAAGCUCUUUUGUCAGGGAAGAUAUUGACGGUACCUGAAGAAUAAGCACCGGCUAACUUCGUGCCAGCAGCCGCGGUAAUACGAAGGGUGCUAGCGUUGUUCGGAAUUACUGGGCGUAAAGCGCGCGCAGGCGGUCUAUCAAGUCAGAGGUGAAAUGCCGAAGCUCAACUUCGGAACUGCCUUUGAAACUGUUAGACUAGAAUAUAGGAGGGGAUAGCGGAAUUCCUAAUGUAGAGGUGAAAUUCGUAGAUAUUAGGAGGAACACCGGUGGCGAAGGCGGCUAUCUGGCCCAUUAUUGACGCUGAGGCGCGAAAGCGUGGGGAUCAAACAGGAUUAGAUACCCUGGUAGUCCACGCUGUAAACGAUGAGUGCUAGCUGUUGGGACCUUAGGUCUCAGUGGCGCAGCUAACGCAUUAAGCACUCCGCCUGGGGAGUACGGUCGCAAGAUUAAAACUCAAAGGAAUUGACGGGGACCCGCACAAGCGGUGGAGCAUGUGGUUUAAUUCGAGGCAACGCGAAGAACCUUACCAGGACUUGACAUGUCCAGUUUGGAUUUCAGAAAUGAUUUCCUUCAGUUUGGCUGGCUGGAACACAGGUGCUGCAUGGCUGUCGUCAGCUCGUGUCGUGAGAUGUUGGGUUAAGUCCCGCAACGAGCGCAACCCUCAUCUUUAGUUGCUACCAUUUAGUUGAGCACUCUAAAGAAACUGCCGGUGAUAAGCCGGAGGAAGGUGGGGAUGACGUCAAGUCUUCAUGGCCCUUAUGUCCUGGGCUACACACGUGCUACAAUGGCAGUGACAAUGCGCCGCUACCUCGCGAGGGGAAGCUAAUCGCAAAAAGCUGUCUCAGUUCGGAUUGUACUCUGCAACUCGAGUACAUGAAGUUGGAAUCGCUAGUAAUCGCGCAUCAGCAUGGCGCGGUGAAUACGUUCCCGGGUCUUGUACACACCGCCCGUCACACCAUGGGAGUUGGUUCUACCUUAAGCUGCUGUGCUAACCGCAAGGAGGCAGGCAACCACGGUAGGGUCAGUGACUGGGGUGAAGUCGUAACAAGGUA
rnacentral:rRNA from 1 species